CUGGGGCACGCCUUCUCCUGAGCGCUGUGCUUUUGAGUUUGGAGCAGGUGACUAGGCCCGAGUCUCCCCGGCGGGGUGGCGAGACUCCCCGAGGACAGCGGUAGGCGCGGGGAUGGGGGAAUGCCCCAAGGUCUGCGCACCGUCCUCCCAGCUCUGAAUACCCCAGGUCGGCCCUUCUCCCCGCUCACAGGCAUCAGUAGGGAAGGCUGUGGGGAGGCAGGGUUUGGCGCGCUCUGAGGAUGCAGUCAUCAAGACAGAGCUGCCCAGCAAUCGAGCAACUUCCGUUUGCACAGUGCUUUGGACAGCUUUCAGCUGGGUGAAAUCUUCGCGCGAACCUCGGAGGCUGAGACAGGUUAUGGUUCUCGCCGUAAUGAAGAAAAUGAGACCCAGAGAAGAGAAGGAUUUCUUCAAGGUCACAUGGUGAAUAUGUCACAGCCAGACUAGAACUCAGGGCCCUUCACGAAUGGCUUGCUGGCCUUCCUGUUACACAUGGACCCCGAAGCCCUGCAGCUCGCAUACUUUCAAGGUAUGCAGACUUUUCAGCUCUGAGGAGUGGGAGCCACUGUUCUGAGAAAAACUUGUGGAAGGAAAGGAAGGUUUAAAACUGCCAGCUUCUGGGUCGGCUUCCCCUGGGUUGGGCCAGAGGGAGUGCAGCAACUGCUGAUGGCCCUUUCGCCUGCAUAGAAAGAGCACUUCUGUGCAGAGGGAAACCAUAUACAGAUAGAGCCUGAAUGACAACAAUGCUUCAGCCUCUGGAUCCAGCUAUACCUGAAGCAGAUACUCCUGACUUCCCAGUUAGGUGAGCCAGUACAUCUCCUUUUUGGUUGAGCUGGUUUGAAAUAGCGUUCUUCUCCUUGCAUCUGAAGGACAAAUGACCAGUACAACUUCCUUGACAUCCCUGGGGCUUCCCACCAUGUGCCUCCUUGGAGUUAGUAACUCAUAAUUCUGUGCUACACUAUCGCCACUGGCAAUAGUCCUCCUCAGUAGGACCUCCCUCCUCCUUUAUCAGCCCACAGCUCUGAGACCAGGUAUUACUAAAAUGAGUGAAGGGCCAUUGAGCGAAUCGGGGGAGGGAUGAGUGCAUGGAGACCCUUUCUGCAGCUCCUGAAGUUUCUACUCAAGGACAAGCUGGAUCUGAACUUACCUUGCAAGCAGACUUUAAGAAAACAAACAGACCUAGCCCCACCAGCCAACAUUCCUACUUCAGGAAUGAGGCUGGGCUGGGGCAGUGCCUUGAUGAUCCAGUUCAGACCUGCCAGUGGCUGAGAGAAGACAGAACUGUUUCCGGAGGAGUAAGAGAGCCUGAAGCCAUAGCACUGGCACCUGUCGGGGACAGAGCUGACAGCAGAGUGCUUUCUGGCCCCUUGGAGGGCAGCCAGGAGCUGGCCAGGAGGUCAGGGUCAUGUCCCCUUGUGGUAUCGAGGCCAGGAUCCAGACAGGAGUUGGACAGAAAACUGACUUCCUGCCAGGAAUCUUGCCAUGCACAGCUUCAGCUCCUGGGGAAGAGUUCAGAUUUAUUUCAGGUGAUGCAACCCUGGGACACAGGCACUGUUUUUAGAGUGGCUACGAGAAUAAAAGUUAUGAUGGAUUUUUUUAAAAAAUGGAAUCAAGUGAUCAGCAUGUUUCCAGGUCUGCAACUUGUCAAAACCUUGGUGGACAGUUGAAGAAAUGUUUUCCUAUAAUAAAUUAGAAGGCGUUUUAUUUUCCUUUGGCUAAUCUUUCAUCGUAAUUUCAAUUGUGGUGUGGUGGGGCAGGAUUCUUUUUAACUAAUUCUGCCCUGAAACAUAACAUCUGCUGGUCUCAAAUUGCCAGAAAGAACCGUUGAUAAGUCUGAAAUCGGUGGAGAGUAAAUAUUAAUUCUACAAUUUGUCCAUAUUUUAUUUUCAUCUGUGGACAGCACCAUCUCCUCCUUGCACCGGU